CCUACGGGGGGCAGCAGUGGGGAAUAUUGGACAAUGGGGGCAACCCUGAUCCAGCCAUGCCGCGUGUGUGAAGAAGGCCCUCGGGUUGGAAAGCACUUUCAGUGAGGAAGAACGCCUGGUGGUUAAUACCCAUCAGGAAAGACAUCACUCACAGAAGAAGCACCGGCUAACUCCGUGCCAGCAGCCGCGGUAAUACGGAGGGUGCGAGCGUUAAUCGGAAUUACUGGGCGUAAAGCGCGCGUAGGUGGCUUGAUAAGCCGGUUGUGAAAGCCCCGGGCUCAACCUGGGAACGGCAUCCGGAACUGUCAAGCUAGAGUGCAGGAGAGGAAGGUAGAAUUCCCGGUGUAGCGGUGAAAUGCGUAGAGAUCGGGAGGAAUACCAGUGGCGAAGGCGGCCUUCUGGACUGACACUGACACUGAGGUGCGAAAGCGUGGGUAGCAAACAGGAUUAGAUACCCUGGUAGUC
rnacentral:rRNA from 1 species